rnacentral:rRNA from 1 species
UACGGAGGAUGCGAGCGUUAUCCGGAUUUAUUGGGUUUAAAGGGUGCGUAGGCGGGCUUUUAAGUCAGCGGUAAAGAUUCGGGGCUCAACCCCGUCCGGCCGUUGAAACUGGGGGCCUUGAGUGGGCGAGAAGAAGGCGGAAUGCGUGGUGUAGCGGUGAAAUGCAUAGAUAUCACGCAGAACCCCGAUUGCGAAGGCAGCCUUCCGGCGCCCUACUGACGCUGAGGCACGAAAGCGCGGGGAUCGAACAGG